GUUCUUGUAGUGGAAGCACAACGGUGGUUUUUCACGCCACAGGUCUUGGUUAGAGUCCGGGCAAGAAUU
rnacentral:tRNA from 1 species